UGUGGGUAGCGGUGAAAUUCCAAACGAACUUGGAGAUAGCUGGUUCUCUCCGAAAUAGCUUUAGGGCUAGCCUCGUGUGAAUGAUAAUGGAGGUAGAGCACUGUUUGGACUAGGGGCCCGUCAGGGGUUACUGAAUCCAGAUAAACUCCGAAUGCCAGAUAUCAAUGCACGGGAGUCAGACUGCGAGUGAUAAGAUCCGUAGUCGAAAGGGAAACAGCCCAGAUCACCGGUUAAGGUCCCAAAAUCUAUGCUAAGUGGAAAAGGAUGUGGAGUUGCACAGACAACUAGGAUGUUGGCUCAGAAGCAGCCACCAUUUAAAGAGUGCGUAAUAGCUCACUAGUCGAGUGACGCUGCGCCGAAAAUUUACCGGGGCUAAGCAUAGUACCGAAACCGUGGAUGCAGUUAGCUGCGUGGUAGGAGAGCGUUCUAAAGGCGGAGAAGGCAGAUCGAGAGGACUGUUGGAGCGUUUAGAAGUGAGAAUGCCGGUAUAAGUAGCGAAAGACAGGUGAGAAUCCUGUCCGCCGAAAGACUAAGGUUUCCUGGGGCAGGCUCGUCCGCCCAGGGUAAGUCGGGACCUAAGGUAAGGCCGAGAGGCGUAGCCGAUGGACAACAGGUAGAUAUUCCUGUACUAUUCGUAAUCGAUAAGAGCGAAGGAGGGACGCAGGAGGCUAAUGACGCAUGGAGAUGGAAUCAUGUGUAAGCGUUAAGGAAGGAUGCGAGUCAAAUGCUUGUAGCCAAUUUUGAGACGUGAUGCGGAGUGAAAUCAAAGUAGCGAAGGUCAUGAAGUCACACUGCCAAGAAAAGCUUCUAGCCAGAGAGCGAGUACCCGUACCGCAAACCGACACAGGUAGUCGAGGAGAGAAUCCUCAGGUGAGCGAGAGAACUCUCGUUAAGGAACUCGGCAAAAUGACCCCGUAACUUCGGGAGAAGGGGUGCUGAUCUCCGGAUCAGCCGCAGUGAAUAGGCCCAAACAACUGUUUAUCAAAAACACAGGUAUCUGCAAAAUCGUAAGAUGACGUAUAGGUACUGACACCUGCCCGGUGCUGGAAGGUUAAGAGGAUAGCUUAGCGAAAGCGAAGGUUAGAAUUGAAGCCCCAGUAAACGGCGGCCGUAACUAUAACGGUCCUAAGGUAGCGAAAUUCCUUGUCGGGUAAGUUCCGACCUGCACGAAAGGUGUAAUGAUUUGGGCACUGUCUCAACGAGAGACUCGGUGAAAUUAUAAUACCCGUGAAGAUGCGGGUUACCCGCGACAGGACGGAAAGACCCCAUGGAGCUUUACUGUAGCUUGAUAUUGAGUAUUUGUUAAACAUGUACAGGAUAGGUAGGAGCCAGAGAAGAUAGGACGCCAGUUUUAUCAGAGGCAAUGUUGGGAUACUACCCUUGUUUGAUGGAUCCUCUAACUCGUCACACUAAGCGUGUGAGAGGACAGUGUCAGGUGGGCAGUUUGACUGGGGCGGUCGCCUCCUAAAGAGUAACGGAGGCGCCCAAAGGUUCCCUCAGAAUGGUUGGAAAUCAUUCGCAGAGUGUAAAGGUAGAAGGGAGCUUGACUGCGAGAGAGACAACUCGAGCAGGUACGAAAGUAGGGCUUAGUGAUCUGGUGGUACUGCAUGGAAAGGCCAUCACUCAACGGAUAAAAGCUACCCUGGGGAUAACAGGCUUAUCUCCCCCAAGAGUUCACAUCGACGGGGAGGUUUGGCACCUCGAUGUCGGCUCGUCGCAUCCUGGGGCUGAAGUCGGUCCCAAGGGUUGGGCUGUUCGCCCAUUAAAGCGGCACGCGAGCUGGGUUCAGAACGUCGUGAGACAGUUCGGUCCCUAUCCGUCGUGGGCGUAGGAAAUUUGAGAGGAGCUGUCCUUAGUACGAGAGGACCGGGAUGGACAUACCGCUGGUGUACCAGUUGU
rnacentral:rRNA from 1 species